rnacentral:rRNA from 1 species
GAUGAACGCUGGCGGCGUGCCUAAUACAUGCAAGUCGAGCGAACAGAUGAGGAGCUUGCUCCUCUGACGUUAGCGGCGGACGGGUGAGUAACACGUGGAUAACCUACCUAUAAGACUGGGAUAACUUCGGGAAACCGGAGCUAAUACCGGAUAAUAUAUUGAACCGCAUGGUUCAAUAGUGAAAGACGGUUUUGCUGUCACUUAUGGAUGGAUCCGCGCCGCAUUAGCUAGUUGGUAAGGUAACGGCUUACCAAGGCGACGAUGCGUAGCCGACCUGAGAGGGUGAUCGGCCACACUGGAACUGAGACACGGUCCAGACUCCUACGGGAGGCAGCAGUAGGGAAUCUUGCGCAAUGGGCGAAAGCCUGACGGAGCAACGCCGCGUGAGUGAUGAAGGUCUUCGGAUCGUAAAACUCUGUUAUUAGGGAAGAACAAAUGUGUAAGUAACUAUGCACGUCUGGACGGUACCUAAUAAGAAAGCCACGGCUAACUACGU